rnacentral:lncRNA from 1 species
GAACCUUCAAACGCAAAAAGUACGUGAAAUAAAGAUAUGACCAGAAUGGUGAAAUACGUCUACAGUUGAAAAAUCACUGUAUUCUGGUAAAGUCUCGGUGCCGAUAGUUGCGGUCAAUGCAAUUUACCCUUAUUAUUCACUAUGCUGCAGAUUUGGUUUUUGGUGUCCGAUUGACUAUUGUGAUACCUUUCCGGAAGCAUAACGGCCCUACGAGUCAAACUCAUCGCUAAUGCCAUGAUGUACGGGCCUUUUUGGCCAUCCGAGUCCGUUUAGGGCUUCAAAAUGCAGUUUUCUUAUUUCCGAUUAGAGUUGACCGUUUCGAUCGAGCCCUUAACGUUGUCGAAUCCAGUUAAUUUUUACCUUAUAGACAUCUUCAUCAUAAUGGAUCGAUAUCGGACGGUCGAAUUUUGGUUUGUAAAUUUUAGUCAUCGGAAUCACAACGUGUCUACUAUUUACCGUUAUUAUUCCGUAUGGGGAGCCCUAUCGUCGGAAGGUAAAUGUCUCAAAUAUUUUANAUGGGCAGUUGCGUCUCAUCUACGUGAGAGUUUUUUGUGUGGAAGGUUUGACCAAACCACGUAAUAUAGAGAGAGAUAUGAGCGUUUUCGUGUGAUAAGUGACGAUGGAUUAGGGUUACCCGUUUCGAUCGAGUCCUUAACGUUGUCGGAUCCAGUUGAAUAUUUUACCAUAGACAUCUUUGUCAUAAUGAUCAUAU